UACGUAGGGCGCAAGCGUUGUCCGGAAUUAUUGGGCGUAAAGAGCUCGUAGGCGGUCUGUUACGUCCGCUGUGAAAACCCAGGGCUUAACCCUGGGCUUGCAGUGGAUACGGGCAGACUAGAGGCAGGUAGGGGAGAAUGGAAUUCCCGGUGUAGCGGUGAAAUGCGCAGAUAUCGGGAGGAACACCGGUGGCGAAGGCGGAUCUCUGGGCCUUACCUGACGCUCAGGUGCGAAAGCUAGGGGAGCGAACAGG
rnacentral:rRNA from 1 species